rnacentral:lncRNA from 1 species
CCUCUGGCUGGAAUAUGUCACUCCAAAGCUUACAAGCAGAAAAGUAGAGAGCAUAUGACAGUAUUUUUACUGGAAAAGCUAAGUUGGAAAUUGUUAACAACUGGUUUAAAAUAGAUGUCUCUAAAGUGGCAUAUAAAGAAUCCAGUAAAAUUAUGACUGUGUAGAGCUGCCUUUGGCACGCUCAAGCAAACAGAGCAUUAGAAUUACCUCAUCUCUGUCUCCUGCAAGCGUGUGUCUGUUUCUGUAUCAAGAUCCCUGUUCUUGGCUACAUGGAAUGAAAUGGCACUAAUACAAUUGGAGCAUCUCAGGCUGCCAAAGAGGAACAUUGGAAGCAUAGAGGCAGACGGCUCACACCACAUGAAGUCUUCAAACCUACAAGUAGCAGCUACUGCUAAAAAAAGAAGAUUGCACUCCAUGAACCUCUGGCAUGAAGCAACUCCACAGAUAUUACCACCAUGGUGGACCAAGCUACCUGAGGACAUGAGGGAAGGCCUGGGCUGAGUGAUUAAUUCACAGCUCCGAAGUUAUCGCCUGGCAUCACAAUAGUUCAAUCUGUGAUUGAAUCUGUGAAUCAUAGAAUAACUGUUUGAGUUGGGACUCUUACAGGUCAUCUAAUCCAACUCCACUACAAUGAACAGGGACACUCACAGCUCGACCAGGUUGCUCAGAGCCACAUCCAGCCUGACCUUGAAUGUCUCCAAGGAUGGGGCAUCCACCACCUCUCUGGACAACCUGUUCCAGUGCCACACCACUGUUAUUGUAAAAAAACUUCUUCCUUAUAUCCAAUCUAAAUCUCCCCUCUUUUAGUUUGAAACCCUUGUCCUAUCACAACAGACCCUGUUAAAGAGUCUGUCCCCAACUUCCAUACAGACCUGCUAUCAGGCCUUCUUCUAUGGCCUUCUUCUGUGCAAAGGGUUCACAUCUCUCCCACACUGAGAAUGCCACACCUGGAUGCAGCACUGUAGGUGAAGUCUCAACAGAGUUGAACCAUCCUUCCCAUCUGCUGUCUAAAAACAGUUUCACUUCUUCAGUUGGCUGUAGCCAUGAUAACCACCCAGUUACAAUGUCCAAGGCUACUGCUAUACAGUAAUAAGGGACGGACCUGCUCCAGAAGGCUCUACAGGGAAUAUCCGAGAUGAAGCCAGUUAGCACCUGCUUGAAAUAAAAGGAUUUCUCUGCAAAACA